AGAGUUUGAUCCUGGCUCAGAUUGAACGCUUUUGGAAUGCCUUACACAUGCAAGUCGAACGGCAGCACGGGAGCAAUCCUGGUGGCGAGUGGCGAACGGGUGAGUAAUACAUCGGAACGUGCCCAAUCGUGGGGGAUAACGUAGCGAAAGCUACGCUAAUACCGCAUACGAUCUACGGAUGAAAGCAGGGGAUCGCAGGACCUUGCGCGAAUGGAGCGGCCGAUGGCAGAUUAGGUAGUUGGUGGGGUAAAGGCUCACCAAGCCUUCGAUCUGUAGCUGGUCUGAGAGGACGACCAGCCACACUGGGACUGAGACACGGCCCAGACUCCUACGGGAGGCAGCAGUGGGGAAUUUUGGACAAUGGACGCAAGUCUGAUCCAGCAAUGCCGCGUGCAGGAUGAAGGCCUUCGGGUUGUAAACUGCUUUUGUACGGAACGAAACGGCUCUCCAUAAUACGGGGGGCUAAUGACGGUACCGUAAGAAUAAGCACCGGCUAACUACGUGCCAGCAGCCGCGGUAAUACGUAGGGUGCGAGCGUUAAUCGGAAUUACUGGGCGUAAAGCGUGCGUAGGCGGUUAUAUAAGACAGAUGUGAAAUCCCCGGGCUCAACCUGGGACCUGCAUUUGUGACUGUAUAGCUAGAGUACGGUAGAGGGGGAUGGAAUUCCGCGUGUAGCAGUGAAAUGCGUAGAUAUGCGGAGGAACACCGAUGGCGAAGGCAAUCCCCUGGACCUGUACUGACGCUCAUGCACGAAAGCGUGGGGAGCAAAAGGGAUUAGAUACCCUGGUAGUCCACGCCCU
rnacentral:rRNA from 1 species